CCUACGGGAGGCAGCAGUGAGGAAUAUUGGUCAAUGGGCGGGAGACUGAACCAGCCAAGCCGCGUGAGGGAGGAAGGUACAGAGUAUCGUAAACCUCUUUUGUCAGGGAACAAAGACUGGGACGCGUCCCCGGAUGAGUGUACCUGAAGAAAAAGCAUAGGCUAACUCCGUGCCAGCAGCCGCGGUAAUACGGAGGAUGCGAGCGUUAUCCGGAUUUGUUGGGUUAAAAGGGUGCGCAGGCGGUCUGUUAAGUCAGCGGUCAAAGCCCGGGGCUCACCCCCGGCCCGCCGUUGAGACUGGCAGUCUCGAGUUGGAGAGAAGUAUGCGGAAUGCGCGGUGUAGCGGUGAAAUGCAUAGAUAUCGCGCAGAACUCCGAUUGCGAAGGCAGCAUGCCGGCUCCACACUGACGCUGAGGCACGAAAGCGUGGGUAUCGAACAGGAUUAGAUACCCUAGUAGUC
rnacentral:rRNA from 1 species